UGACCUCAAAUCAGGUAGGACUACCCGCUGAACUUAAGCAUAUCAAUAGCCGGAGGAAGGGAAA
rnacentral:rRNA from 1 species